rnacentral:rRNA from 1 species
GUAGGUGGCAAGCGUUGUCCGGAAUUAUUGGGCGUAAAGCGCGCGCAGGCGGUUCUUUAAGUCUGAUGUGAAGGCCCACGGCUCAACCGUGGAGGGUCAUUGGAAACUGGAGAACUUGAGUACAGAAGAGGAAAGCGGAAUUCCACGUGUAGCGGUGAAAUGCGUAGAGAUGUGGAGGAACACCAGUGGCGAAGGCGGCUUUCUGGUCUGUAACUGACGCUGAGGCGCGAAAGCGUGGGGAGCAAACAGGAUUAGAUACCCUGGUAGUCCACGCCGUAAACGAUGAGUGCUAAGUGUUAGGGGGGCUUCCGCCCCUUAGUGCUGCAGCUAACGCAUUAAGCACUCCGCCUGGGAGUACGGCCGCAAGGCUG